rnacentral:sRNA from 1 species
AUCUUGCGUACGGAGGUGAGGUUUGUUACCGCGAUUCUGAGAGGUGGGCUUUUAGUCCCUCCAGACCUCGGCUUUAGUGCUGUGUCUCCACUUUCCUUUCACCUUCACAGAGGUUCGUGUCUUCCUAAAAGAAGGUUUUAUUGGGAGGUAAAGGUCAAUGCGUAGGGGUAGAGUAAGAAUUCUGCUUGGUCAGAAUCGUGAUGGCAUUGUGUUCAGCACUGAUGACUAUUUUCACCAUCAAGAUGGGUACAGGUAUAAUGUUAAUCAACUUGGUGAUGCCCAUGACUGGAACCAGAACAGAGGAGGAAUAAACAUGGUGUGUCUCGAAAGAAGAUUGCUCAGAUGUUGGAUCGUUAUGAAUAUCAAAUGUCCAUUUCUAUUGUAAUGAAUUCAGUGGAACCAUCACACAAAAGCACACAAAGACCUCCUCCUCCACAGGGGAGACAGAGGUGGGGAGGCUCUCUUGGCUCACAUAAUCAUGUCUGUGUCACAAGUAAUCAUUAAAUUAGCUAUUUUCAGCUAACACAUUUGUUGUCGCACUUGAAAAAGAGUUAGUGAGCCUGUCUUGGAGUUUAAAUAGUUUCAAAUAAAAAAAGGCUACAUUGCCUCACAAAGAUGUUCCCAGCAAGUUGUUUAAAUUCCCAGCAAGUUGUUAAAGUGUAAAUAAAAAUAUAUGAAAUUGUAUUUUAAAUGUUUUUAUAUUCUCUUAUUGUAAUACUCUUGGCUGUUAUGGAAACACCUGAGUAGUAGAGUGGUGGGUAGGAGCUAGGAUGUUUUUCUACAAUCAAAUUUUAAACUAAUUUAUCUAUUUUAUAGA